AGAGUUUGAUCCUGGCUCAGAGCGAACGCUGGCGGAAUGCUUAACACAUGCAAGUCGCACGCCCCGGCAACGGGGAGUGGCGGACGGGUGAGGAACGCGUAGGAACAUGUCCAGAGGUGGGGGACAACCCUGGGAAACCGGGGCUAAUACCGCAUACGGCCCGAGGGCCAAAGCCGCGAGGCGCCUUUGGAGUGGCCUGCGUCCGAUUAGCUUGUUGGCGGGGUAACGGCCCACCAAGGCGACGAUCGGUAGCUGGUCUGAGAGGAUGAUCAGCCACACUGGGACUGAGACACGGCCCAGACUCCUACGGGAGGCAGCAGUGGGGAAUAUUGGGCAAUGGGCGCAAGCCUGACCCAGCAAUUCCGCGUGGGUGAAGAAGGUCUUCGGAUUGUAAAGCCCUUUCGGCGGGGACGAUGGUGACGGUACCCGCAGAAGAAGCCCCGGCUAACUUCGUGCCAGCAGCCGCGGUAAUACGAAGGGGGCUAGCGUUGCUCGGAAUCAUUGGGCGUAAAGGGCGCGUAGGCGGCGCAGCUAGUCAGGCGUGAAACCCCCGGGCUCAACCCGGGGACUGCGUUUGAUACGGCUGUGCUAGAGGAUGGAAGAGGGCCGCGGAAUUCCCAGUGUAGAGGUGAAAUUCGUAGAUAUUGGGAAGAACACCGGUGGCGAAGGCGGCGGCCUGGUCCAUUACUGACGCUGAGGCGCGACAGCGUGGGGAGCAAACAGGAUUAGAUACCCUAGUAGUCC
rnacentral:rRNA from 1 species